GACGAACGCUGGCGGCGUGCUUAACACAUGCAAGUCGAACGCUGAAGCUCAGCUUUUGUUGGGUGGAUGAGUGGCGAACGGGUGAGUAACACGUGAGUAACCUGCCUCCUUCUUUGGGAUAACGCCCGGAAACGGGUGCUAGUACUGGAUAUUCACUGGUCUUCGCAUGGGGGUUGGUGGAAAGGGUUUUUCUGGUGGGGGAUGGGCUCGCGGCCUAUCAGCUUGUUGGUGGGGUGAUGGCCUACCAAGGCUUUGACGGGUAGCCGGCCUGAGAGGGUGACCGGUCACAUUGGGACUGAGAUACGGCCCAGACUCCUACGGGAGGCAGCAGUGGGGAAUAUUGCACAAUGGGCGCAAGCCUGAUGCAGCGACGCCGCGUGAGGGAUGGAGGCCUUCGGGUUGUGAACCUCUUUCGCUCAUGGUCAAGCCGCAACAAUGGUUGUGGUGAGGGUAGUGGGGAAAGAAGCGCCGGCUAACUACGU
rnacentral:rRNA from 1 species